rfam:Octopus bimaculoides Scaffold61_contig_247, whole genome shotgun sequence.
AACCCUGGGCGGGGGAUCACUCGGCUCGUCCGUCGAUGAAGAGCGCGGCUAUCCGCGUGAACUGAUGCGAUUUGCAGGACUCAGUGAACAUCGACACCUCGAACACACAAUGCGACCCCGGGAUCCCAUCAUCCCGGAGCCCCGUCCGGUCGAGAGGCG